ACUAAAUUUUAGAGUUCUUUAAAUAAUAUUAAAAUUCAUGUUCCGUCCUUUUUUAGCAAUAGUUAAAGGAGGAGGAUGCAGAUACUUUAAAUUUAGUUUAGAGAAUGGCAACCAUGAUAGGCGCCAUUCUCUGAAAUAA